rnacentral:lncRNA from 8 species
GUGAAUUAUUGAGGUGGACUACUUGAAUGUGGAUGUCCCCUAAACCUGCUUUCUGGUGACUUAAAGGAGCUGCGACAGAGGUCAAGGUGGCUAAUGUACAGUAAUAUUCCUACCUUUAACUUGCCCUGAAGGCCUUCUGCCUGUGUCUGUGCUUCCUGCACCCUGCCCUAGUUUUGGGGAAGUUCUCUGGAUGGGCAGAGGCCAGCAGCUUGUGAGAUCUGUUUCCUGAGAUGCUUCCUGCUUUUCUGUGGAGUCAUCUCAUCUGUUCAAGACAAGGACAUUCACUCUUCCCAGCCAGAGCGUUGAGAAACUGCCACACAUGCAUAACAUUUUUUCGGCCCGUGCAAACUAUCUCGCAAAAGUUGGAGUCAGAGUUGACAUGUACUUGCAAAUUAUGUCAUUGAUUGUAGCUAUUCAUGUCAGCAUUCCGUGAGAAUCAAACCUUCUCACGACAGCCAUGAGUCCAUCUUCUUUGCGUCGCCACGUUGCUGGGCAACCCUGGUAGAGGGACUGUCUAAUUGUAAAGCAUGUUGGGUACCGUAGUCCUCUAACCCUGCUGAGCGCUGUAACUUCUUCGAUACUCCACACAUUCAGGCUGCCUGCAAUGGAUCAGUAUACAUGGUGAUGGAAUUCCCCACAACGUCAGACCUAGAAGACCCUGGCCCAUUAGGGCCUCCAGGGGGGCAGAAGCAGCCUGUGAAGUCCCACCUGCUGGCCUCCAGAGAGCUCCUGGUGGCCUCCCUGUAUAACCUGGCUCCCCUGCUGGACAGGACCCUGGCAUCCGGCCUGCUCUCCCAGGAGAACUACUUUGAGGUGGGGGCAGAGAGGACCCCUCAGGGCCGGGCCCGCAGGCUGCUGGAGGUUGUCCAGGCUGAGAUGGACGAGGCUGGGGCCAGAGGCUUCAUGGAGUGCCUCCGGAGAUGCAAGCAGCACUACCCGCGCCUCCGAGCCUGGCUCAGAACUGAUGCAGAUAUUCAGCGUGGACCCACAGAGCGUCAGCUGCAGGCCCAGCUCAGUGUCCUGUGUGGCCGGUUGGGGUUCUCUGUCCUGCCAGUCUCCCUGGAGCUGUUCUCUAAUGGCACCCUAACUCAGUUUGAACUGGACCAGGUCCAGGCAGCGCCCACAUCUUACCAGCAGACCCACCAGCUCCUGUCCAUCUGUCUGUCCAAGGGAGAGAGGGCCUGCUGUAGCUUCUACCAGGCACUGGGCAGCGAAGACCCACAGCUGGCCUCAGACAUCAGUGUGGAGGAUCCUGGGGUGUGUAGUACUCCUGUGGAAGUGAAGGAUGAUGGGUUAUGUAGUACUCAUACAGCAGUUGAGACCAGACAGACUGAUGGGGAAGGUCUGUCUCUCCCAGACACCCACAUACUCUCAGAUGUGCUCCAGCAGGUGCUGUCCCUGCUGUCCGUGGCUCCAGGUGAGGGGGCCAGGCUGAAUGUGUGUGAGCUGGGGGUGGCAGUGGGUCUGCCCAGGAGGACCGUCAGAGAGUGCCUGUUGGAGGAGGUGGAGGUGGGGGACAUCGUUCAGCUCAGGGCCCUGGUCACCCUCUUCCUCAGUAAGACCCAGGAUGCCUCUAGGCUGCUAAACAGGGUGGCAGAGUGCACAGCACACCGGGUGCUGCUCUCUGAGAGGGGAUGUAUGUUACUGAAGCUGCUGCCUGUGGCUGAGGCCUUUCUCCGCACCGGGGAACACCACCACCUGCAAGCUUGGGACCACCUCUGCACUGGGGACCACCACCACCUGCAAGCUAGGGACCACCUCCGCACUGGGGACCACCACUACCUGCAAGCUAGGGACCACCUCCGCACUGGGGACCACAUAGACAAAGUGUGGAACAUCUUUAGCUUGGUCCUGUGGGACAUCAUGGCAGAGGCUCUGGAGGAUCCUGGGGCUGCAGUGGAAUCAUUGUGGGAACCUAGGGAUGCUGUCCGUCUGUUACGAGACAGUGAGAGAGUGGAGACAGAGCUUCUCCAGGAGUUGGAGGAGUGCUGGGCAGAUGGGGGAACUGAGAGCCUGUUACAGAGUGUUACAGUACUAGCUCAGUUGCUACGCGACCUCCACCCUCUCCAGGACAGUCUGUGCUUCUCCCCUCCUGACAAGGGGGCUGUGUACCCCUGCCGCUCUCGCAGACUCCAUAGAGUCACCCGUUUCCAGGGACUGCCUGCACGGGUCAUCCGCAAAGCACUGGGACACGGAGCUCCCUCCACACACCCAACCCCAGCUGGUCUCCCCAUCCAGUACAGAGAUCUCUGCCUCUGCAUCACACGUCUGCUGGACAGGGUGCACCCACAAGAAAGCACUACCUCCAUAGAUCUCUCCCAGGCUCCUAUUGCUACCAUCACCCAGCACAUCUGCUCAACCCUGGCCCGGCCGGUGUUCGGACCCCAGAGCUUCGAUGCUGGGGUGAGACACAGGGUUCUGUCUGUGGUAAAGUAUGGCCCGGUCAGGUGGGGCCUGCUUAACUUACAGGAGCUGCAUAAAGACACUCUGUUGGGUCUGGAGAGGUACCUGAAGCCAGGGGAGCAUCACAGCUUCCAGCUUGUCCCAGAAAAAGUACGGAUCUUCGGAGGGCCAGAGAUACGCUGGGGAGAAAGGGUCAGGGGCCCAGUCGCCAUUGACAAUGGGAUAGAGGAAGUCCUCCAAUUUGUCACCUCCGAGCCAGCCUCGUUUCUUAUCAGUGUUAGUUGCCGCGGCUAUGACAGGGGCCAGUACUUUGAGGUACGCGAGCCGCAGUGUGUGCGUGUGUCUGGACUGCAGGAGGAGGGGGUAGGUGAGGUGCAGGGUUUAGGGGGGACAGUGUUGGUUUUGGCAGUAGAGGGCGAGACGGUGUGGAUGAGAGAGGAGAGGCAGGGGAGGGAGAGCGGGACAGAGCUGGAGCAGGUGUCUCAGAGACACUCUGCCACACUACAGGACGGGGGCUGCUGCUUCAGGGUCACGACCCCAGGGACACGUUGCCAGGUCAAGUUCAUCUACAAGACAGGGAGGAUCUCUGCUGUGGCCGAGAGGGACUGUGAAGUUUUCUAA